ensembl:lncRNA
GAUGAAAAGUGUUUUUAAGUUUGCAAUUUUUAUUCCUUCGGCCUUCUGUCAGCCCGCCACCUAACACAGGAAGCUCUCUAGAAGAGAAAGGCAGGCUGUUGUGUGUGUGUUUGUGUGUGUGUGUGUGUGUGUGUGUGUGUGUGUGUGUGUGUGUGUGAGGUUUCAGUUGCAGUCAGCGGUCGGUGAGGAUGGAGCUGUUUCCUGUGUGUCUCUUCCUGCUGGCUGCCUUCACGGCGGCCUCCUCGGCGGCCUCCUCAGCAGGUCCUCCCAUGGGCGACCUCUACGUGGAGGCCGGCUCCGAGAACUUCACGCUGCCGCUGCCCUCAGAAACCGUUGUGCUGCCGGGCGACAACUUGAUCUGGAAGCGGAAUGGGGACUUGGUUUACAGAAGGGGGGCCAAGAAGAAUGAGUUCACAGUGCUGAGCCCGAGCUGGGCCCUGGUAGUGCCAGCAGCGGCACUGCAGGUGGUGGGACAGGUGGACGUCUACACUGUGGAGGUUCACAACAAGGAUGGGAUCGCAAAGCUCAGGAGGAAGACCACCCUCCAUCUGCUGGCUGGGCCCACAAGAGUCAGAGACAUGUGCUUUCAGGGGCGGCGCUAGAAGUGGUGGGGCUAAGGGGCGAUAUGCGGCCCCCCUAACUGAAGUAACUUUAGUAAUUUUAGUAACUUUAGUUAAUUUAGUUACUUUAGUUACUUAAGUCACUUAAAUUACUUCAGGUACUUCAGCUACAUUUGCUGUAACUUGCAAGGGCAGCACUAAGUGCGCCAGGGCUAGGGGGCGAUUUGCGCCCCCCCUAGUAGGGCUGCCCGAUGAUGGAAAAAACAAUAAUCACGAUUAUUUUGGUCUAUGUAUAAAUCGCGAUUAUUCGAACGAUUCUUUUUUUAGUUUGAAAACAUGUUGCGUUUAUUCAGCAUAAAAAGUUAAUGAAGUUACUUUAGUUACUGAAAUUACUUUAGUUAUUAAAUUACUUUAGUUACUUUAGUGACUUUAGUUAUUCUAUUUACUCUAGUUAUUUAAUUACUUUAGUUACUUUAAUUAUUUAUUUACUUUAGUUACUUGAGUUACUUUUUGCUGUAAUUUGCAGGGGAGGCACUAAACGUGCCAGGACUAUGGGGGGAUUUGCGGCCCUCCUAACUCACAAAGGAAUACAAAUAAUGAUGUUUACAUCGUAAGCCUUGAAGCAUAAUUGCAUAAGUCACUCUGAUUGGUUUAGGAUAUAGCCAAUAAGGCACAGUGAAUCAGUAGCGUUAGGAGAGUAGAAUUAGGUUAGAUAUCACUAUUUGGAAUCUUUUGGAAAAACCUUCAAAGAGACAGAUUCAAUAUACUUGCUAUGUUUUAUUAUAUUAUAUUUAUCAACAAAGUGCAUUGCUAUAUAACCUGAUAGAAAAACGUUUAGAAUUACAAUCAAUAAAUGUAAAUUUAUUUGUCCUCAUCCUCAUCGUCAUCCGCUUAUCCGGGGUCGGGUCGCGGGGGGAGCAGCUCAAGCAAGGGGCCCCAGACUUCCCUUUCCCGGGCCACAUUGACCAGCUCUGACGGGGGGAUCCCGAGGCGUUCCCAGGCCAGUGUUGAGAUAUAAUCUCUCCACCUAGUCCUGGGUCUUCCCCGAGGUCUCCUCCCCACUGGACGUGCCUGAAACACCUCCCAAGGAAGGCGCCCAGUGGGCAUCCUUACCAGAUGCCCGAACCACCUCAGCUGACUCCUUUCUAAGUAAAGGAGCAGCGGCUCUAAUCCGAGUUCCUCACGGAUGGCUGAGCUUCUCACCCUAUCCCUAAGGGAGACGCCAGCCACCCUUCUGAGAAAACUCAUCUCGGCCGCUUGUACCCGCGAUCUCGUCCUUUCGGUCAUCACCCAGCCCUCAUGACCAUAGGUGAGGAUAGGAACGAAGAUCGACCGGUAGAUCGAGAGCUUUGCCUUGCGGCUCAGCUCUCUUUUCGUUACAACGGUGCGGUAAAGCGAACGCAAUACCGCCCCCGCUGCUCCGAUUCUCCGGCCAAUCUCACGCUCCAUAGUACCCUCACUCGCGAACAAGACCCCGAGGUACUUGAACUCCUUCACCUGGGCUAAGGACUCAUUUCCUACCCGGAGUAAGCAAUCCACCGGUUUCCUGCUAAGAGUCAUGGCCUCAGAUUUAGCGGUGCUGAUCCUCAUCCCAGCCACUUCACACUCGGCCGCCAGCCGAUCCAGUGAGUGCUGAAGGUCACAGGCCGAUGAUCCAAUGAGGACCACAUCAUCUGCAAAAAGCAGUGACGAGAUCCUCAGACCACCGAACUGCAACCCCUCCCCACCACGACUACGCCUCGAUAUCCUGUCCAUGUAUAUCACAAACAGGAUUGGUGACAAGGCGCAGCCCUGGCGGAGACCAGCACCCACUGAGAACGAAACUGACUGGCUGCCGAGAACACGAACACAGCUCUCGCUUUGGGAGUACAAAGAUUGGAUGGCCCUGAGGAUAGACCCCCUUACCCCAUACUCCCGCAGCACCUCCCACAGUUUCUCCCGGGGGACCCGGUCAUACGCCUUCUCCAGAUCCACAAAACACAUGUAGACCGGAUGGGCAUACUCCCAGGCCCCCUCCAGGAUCCUUGCGAGAGUGAAGAGCUGGUCCGUAGUUCCACGUCCGGGGCGAAAACCGCAUUGUUCCUCUUCAAUCUGAGGUUCGACGAUCUCAUCAAUCCCCAGGGAUUGAUGAGAUCCAGCCAGAAAUGCUAAAGGCUCUGGGUGUUGAGGGGCUGUCAUGGUUGACACGCCUAUUCAACAUCGCGUGGGAGUCGGGUACAGUGCCAAAGGAGUGGCAAACCGGGGUGGUGGUUCCCCUGUUCAAAAAGGGGGACCAGAGAGUGUGUGCCAAUUACCGGGGUAUCACACUUCUCAGCCUCCCUGGUAAAGUCUACUCCAAGGUGCUGGAAAGCAUUGCCUG